rnacentral:rRNA from 1 species
UAGGGAAUCUUCCGCAAUGGGCGAAAGCCUGACGGAGCAACGCCGCGUGAGUGAUGAAGGUCUUCGGAUCGUAAAACUCUGUUAUUAGGGAAGAACAAAUGUGUAAGUAACUAUGCACGUCUUGACGGUACCUAAUCAGAAAGCCACGGCUAACUACGUGCCAGCAGCCGCGGUAAUACGUAGGUGGCAAGCGUUAUCCGGAAUUAUUGGGCGUAAAGCGCGCGUAGGCGGUUUUUUAAGUCUGAUGUGAAAGCCCACGGCUCAACCGUGGAGGGUCAUUGGAAACUGGAAAACUUGAGUGCAGAAGAGGAAAGUGGAAUUCCAUGUGUAGCGGUGAAAUGCGCAGAGAUAUGGAGGAAAACCAGUGGCGAAGGCGACUUUCUGGUCUGUAACUGACGCUGAUGUGCGAAAGCGUGGGGAUCAAACGGG